rnacentral:tRNA from 1 species
GCGCGUGUAGCUCAGCGGUUAGAGUCCUGGUCUUACACACCAGUUGUCGGGGGUUCGAAUCCCUCCACGCGCA